AUUUGGGGCUAAUUUUUCCUUUUCUUGCUUCACUUUACUUGCGCAUUCGGUUUCAUUCUUUUAAACCCUCUCAGCAGAUCACAGCCUUCGAGACUGUAGGGACGGCGAUUCUCCGACUAGCAGAAGAUGAAGAUUUUUGUCAAGACUCUCAAGGGCACUCACUUCGACGUCGAAGUGAAGCCUGAGGACACGGUUGCUGAUGUGAAGAAACAGAUAGAAACUAGUCAAGGUUCAGAUGUAUAUCCUGCUUCACAACAGAUGCUCAUUCAUCAAGGAAAAGUACUUAAAGAUAGCACAACAUUGGAUGAAAACAAAGUUGCUGAAAACAGCUUUGUUGUGAUAAUGUUGACAAAGAGUAAGAGCUCGUCUGGUGAAGGUUCAGGUGCAUCAACUGCUACUACAACUAAGGCACCACAGCCAAGUGCACCUUCUGCUGCUCCAACUGCGACAUUAACAGCACCUCAGGCUCCAAUACCAACCUCAGCACCGCCUGCUUCUGUUACCACACCUGCUCCUGUCUCUUCAGCUACCACAGAGGUAGAAUCUGAUCCCUACGGCCAAGCAGCAUCUGAUCUGGUAGCAGGAACUAACUUGGAGGGAACAAUUCAGCAAAUUCUGGAUAUGGGUGGAGGUACUUGGGACAGGGAUACUGUUGUACGUGCUCUUCGUGCUGCUUUCAACAACCCAGCGAGAGCUAUUGACUAUCUUUAUUCUUAUUUCUUGAAGGGUAUCCCUGAGCAACCUGAAGUUCCACCUGCAGCCCGUAUUCCUGUGAGUGGGGAAGUUGCAAACCUUCCGGCACAACCUCCACAAUCAGCACAACCAGCAGCCACUCCACCAAGCGGACCUAAUGCCAAUCCUUUAAACCUUUUUCCACAGGGCCUUCCGAACGUGGGUGCUGGUGCUGGUGCUGCAGGCAAUCUUGAUUUUCUUCGUGACAGCCAACAGUUCCAAGCCUUGCGAGCUAUGGUGCAGGCUAAUCCACAAAUAUUGCAGCCUAUGCUUCAAGAGUUAGGGAAACAAAAUCCUAAUCUUAUGAGGCUAAUUCAACAGCAUCAGGCUGACUUCCUUCGCCUGAUUAAUGAACCUGUGGAAGGUGGAGAAGGGAACAUAUUGGGCGAUGCAGCGGUGCCGCAGUCAAUAAGUGUCACUCCUGAGGAGCGUGAAGCUAUAGAGCGUCUUGAAGCAAUGGGAUUUGAUCGAGCAAUUGUAUUGGAGGUUUUCUUUGCCUGCAACAAGAACGAAGAGUUGGCUGCCAACUACCUCUUAGACCACAUGCAUGAAUUUGAGGAAUAAUCUAUGGAAUAUCAGCCGUCCAAACCCCUGUUAAAUAAAAAAAGAAUAUAAAAAAGAAUAUAAAAACCCUCUUCUCAUGGCUUUCUUUUGAAUUUCACAUUUAGCCUUUUAUAAGUUUGGAGUCUGGAUUAUGUGGAUUGUCUAUAGUUUACUAGUCAAGUCAGAACUUUCUUCCCAAAUCCAAUCUUUCAUUUCUCAGGGAUUGAAGUAGAGCAACAAUCAUUGAUCUGGAUGAAGGAGAAGAUGCAUAUUUUUACAUGGACAAAGGACUUGCCUGUUGGUGGUGGGCUGGCUUUCUCCAUCUUCAUGUUUACAGACUGAUGACUUCCCUCCUUGUCUUCUAUUGUGACUCAACACAAAAGUGACAUGCGUCUUUCUUUUAAUUGUCAAAACAGUUUUUAUUAU